AGAGUUUGAUCCUGGCUCAGAUUGAACGCUGGCGGCAUGCCUUACACAUGCAAGUCGAACGGCAGCACGGGUGCUUGCACCUGGUGGCGAGUGGCGAACGGGUGAGUAAUAUAUCGGAACGUACCUUAUCGUGGGGGAUAACGCAGCGAAAGCUGCGCUAAUACCGCAUACGCCCUGAGGGGGAAAGCGGGGGACCGUAAGGCCUCGCGCGAUUAGAGCGGCCGAUAUCUGAUUAGCUUGUUGGUGGGGUAAAAGCCCACCAAGGCGACGAUCAGUAGCUGGUCUGAGAGGACGAUCAGCCACACUGGGACUGAGACACGGCCCAGACUCCUACGGGAGGCAGCAGUGGGGAAUUUUGGACAAUGGGGGCAACCCUGAUCCAGCAAUGCCGCGUGAGUGAAGAAGGCCUUCAGGUUGUAAAGCUCUUUUGUCAGGGAAGAAACAGCAGCUCUAACACAGUCUGCGAAUGACGGUACCUGAAGAAUAAGCACCGGCUAACUACGUGCCAGCAGCCGCGGUAAUACGUAGGGUGCAAGCGUUAAUCGGAAUUACUGGGCGUAAAGCGUGCGCAGGCGGUUAUACAAGACAGGCGUGAAAUCCCCGGG
rnacentral:rRNA from 1 species